UCUGUAAAGAUGCUUCUGCUGGUUUUGGGGGCAGACAAAGAAGAAACCACUUCUGGGGUUGAAGCAGUUAUGAAAAAGCUAGUUUGGAGGACCAAAUAGGGUAGAUUAGGACAGCCUUUUCUGUUCUGACUCUCAAUGUGUUAUAAGCUUAACUAGAAAAUACAAAAGGCAUGAAGAAGAAAUAUACUCUGGACUUCUGCUCCUCAUCUGUGUAAAUCCACCUCUUCUUCCACCGGGUGUAGAUUAAAGAGCAUCGCACCAGAGAAAUUUAGACAGGCAGCAAGAGAGUUCUGAGGCACGGAAGGGUUGAAACCACAGAGCUGGGCUGGGAUUUACCAUCAUCUCCCUACGAGGCACAGGGAAAGAAUCAUGGAAUCAAAGCAAAAGACCUCGAAGCUCAUCCAGUCCAACCAGCACUGCCAAGGCCACCACUAACCCAUGGCACUGAGGGCCUUGGCUACACGGUGUGUGAACGCUUCCAGGGA